CAGGAUGUCUCAGUUACUUUCUCUAUGCUGGACUGUGCUAGACCCUGGGAGGCUGCCUUCAGGCCCACUGAGCUGGGCCCCUCCCUCAGCCUUCUACUUUACCUCUAGCCUGAUGUGCGCAGUACAACAUGAACCAUGGUUUUCCCAGAGAGACAUUAAAAGCGUUUUCAGCCUGCACCUGAGGCAGUCAGUUACAGACUUUGGACCUGGAAUUCUCCUAAACAUAUCUGGGUGUUUCUACUGAUGUGCUUUCCUCUGAAGUUCACCUCUCAGCUGGGGAUGGAGAAAGCCACCACUCUCCUGGUUCCACCUCUCAGCAGCAGGCCGACCACAUCCUUCACAAGGCAGAUUUGGAACUCAAGGUCGAUCAAUGACUUGUUCUUUCAAAACUCUACUAGUCUCCUUUUCCCAGAGACUAUUUGCCCAGGGGCAGGCCAACUCCACCUGGAAGAAGGACUAUGGAAGGUAAAGAUAAAUCGUUUAAAAAGGAAAAUAUAUCAGGUGAUAUUUCAAAACAAUUCUACAUCAGAUUCAUUUGUGACUUUAUUGUCAGAACUGCAUUUUUUUUGAGAGCUUCUCUAACCAGUUAAGCUUUGUGUUUGUGUUUUUAGGGUGAAAGAAUUGCUUUGUUUUUGUUUUUGCUUGUCUUAGAUGACCUUGAAUUAACUUUACAUGAUGAAUACAGCUAUUUGAGGUUCCAGUGAAUUAGCCUUACUCUUUGAACAAGUUCUCAAGAGCGGCCCUGGAAGGCAUUCAGAAACCCUCCAGAGGCAUUCUCAAAAAAGCCCUUUUCUAUCAAGCUGAAAUCCCAAGGCCAGACUCAUCUUCCACGACAUAACUUUUUCCUAUCUCUGGAGGGAAUCUCUGCCUUCCCAGGCAACUGUUUGUAUCCUUCAAUACCCUCCACCAGCACUCCUGCAGGUUGCAACAAAGGAAUCUUCAUUGUUUCUCCUGGGGAGCCUCAGUCAAAGAGGACUUCUGAUGGCCUAUUCCGACUUCCCAGAAUUCUUGAGAAGGGUAUACAAAUACUACUCUGUGGCAGUGAAUUUCCUCUAGAAUUCUUCUAUAUUCUUUUUCUCAGAGAUUUUAUUCAUUUAUUUGAGAGAGAGAAAACAGGGGAAGAGGGAAUAGCAGAGGGAGAGGAAGAAGCAGACUCCCCACUGAGCAGGGAGCCCAAUAUGGUGCUCCAUCCCAGGACCCUGAGAUCAUGACCUGAGCUGAAGGCAGACAUUUAACCAACUGAGUCAUC
rnacentral:lncRNA from 1 species